GUUUAGUUUUGAUAUAAAUGUAUUUAUUUGGGCUUGGAAGCCCUUAUUUUUUGGUCACCCUAGGCCCGUUUCUAGGUUGCCAAGCCUAUGGAGCCGGCCCUGUUAGGGGGGACGGGGCGCCCCGUUAUGGCUCAACUUUGACGCGUGGACCGACGUGAAACACAGCCGCCGGUGCCAACUUUGAAGCGUGGUGAAAAUUUAGCGUGAUGAUGAGCAGCGUGGAGAAAGAAGUGAAAGCAGAGGAAGUAUUGAUCCGAUCUUUAUUAUUCUUGCUGAGCUCCAUUGUUGCAACAACAACAGCAAGACCCCCAAACUCUAUCAAGUAAAAAAGCUCCAUUGUUGUUGAUUCUGAUCUAAAAUUGGAUUAAGAUUAAGAUUAAGAUUUCGAUCUCGAUCUGGGUAUUUUGGGAGAAUGUGAAUGGAAAAAGGGUAGACCAGAAAGCAGAGAUCUUGGAUAAGUACAAAGGGUGUCGGUGAAGGAUAAUUAUGGUGAUCUCGUCAUGCUAAGGGAGGAUCUCAUACUCGAUCACCAAAAAUAGCAAUAUUAAAGUGUUCUGAUAGUGGACUAAAUUACCUUCAUAAGGACUUCAUAAGGAUGUUAACAACAAACAAUGGGGCUUCAAUCGUAACAUCAAGAGCUCUAACAAUUGCCUACUUGUCAAAGGCAUGAGAUGCACUUAAGGUUCAAAGGCCUCACUGGGAGCCUAGGCACACGUCCGAGAAAAAAACAAUAUAUAUAUGGGAUGGUUCAUAUGAGAACCGGCUUGAGUUGAGAGAACUCGUAGGAACUCGACUUCUAUUUUUUUUUCAAUUUUUUUCACCAAAUAUCAUUUUUUUAAAAAUAGCUUUUCAAGGGAAAAAAAUUUCCUUGCCACUUUUUUACAGUGGCAGUUUCACCCCCCCCCCCCCUCCCCAGGCGUUAUAGUGAUUUAUGUUGGGGCAAUGAUUCUUACAUGUGGCAAAAAAUCGACUCGUGAUUUUUUUUGGACUUUCUUUCAUAGAGGGGCUUGUUUCGGUUAUUAGACAUCUAUAUAAUUCCGUUAUUAUACAUAUGUAAACUUCAUUUAACAUGUAGGAAAUCAUAAAAAUACAUAUAAUAAUUAAUGAAAGUACCCUAAAUAUAAAAUAUAUCUAUAAAAUGAUUGUUUGUUAAGAGUUUUAAAAGUUCUGCAAUUAGUUAGCGUUCUGAAAUAAUCCUUAGGGUAUAAGGAGUGGUUAAACACUUUAAAGUGGCAAACCAAAAAACCGACCAAUGAGAGCGCGCCAUGUCAAUUAGGCAAAAGUGUUUAAACUUUGGUGAAAAAUGUUGGCAAUGGUUUAAACACUUGGUGAAGUGGUAAACUAUUUUUAAAAAAAAAAAGGAAAAAGGUGUGAUUGGUUGAGAUAGGAAUGGACCCCACCCCACACCCCCCUCUCUCUCUCCCCUUCCUCCUUCCCCGCGUCGGUAAUCCAUCACCGCACACCCCCCCCCUUUUUCGGUAAACUGAAAGCGGUAACACCUUGGCAAUGGUUUACCGAUCGGUAAACAUUGUUUGCCGUGAAUGAUGUUUUCCCACACCGUAUCCCCUUACCCUUAUAUAUAUAUAUGGGAGGGUUAUCUUGAGAACACCCAAUUUUGUGAGAACAUUAGGAACAAUUUUCAUCCAUAGAUCAUCCUAAAUUAAGGGCUAAGAUUAGAUGGACUAAAUUAAGGGCUAAAUUAAAACAUAAAGGGUAUUAUUGUCAAAAGUUAAAACACAAAACCCACAAUCAAAUUCCCUCCCCAAAUCCCCAAACGACGCAACGAGCAUUUCUAUCUUCUCCUUCAAGAAAUCGAAAACUAUCCAUCUCCCUCAGCAAAUCGUCGACAACAGAAGCAUCACCGUUCGCAGCCGUAAGCACUGUCGUUUGCAGCCAUUAACACCGUUCGCAUUCGUAAGCAUCACCGUUCUUCAUCUACAUUAUUGUUUUCGCUGUUAUGUUCAUUACAAUAUUAAAAAUCGAUACAGAUUCAUAGCUUAAUUUCACCGUCUAAUCGAUUGAACUUGUCCUCGUGCUUCAAUUGUUCAAUCGGUUCAAUUCGGACAGUUUUGUUAUGAAUUAUCGGAUUAUACGCCUGUAUUUUUCGCUUUAUAGUUGUAACUGUUUUGAAAUUGUUAUGUAUUUGUGUGGUUCUACUUUUCUACAUGUAACUGAUAUACAUCAUCAUUACUAAUAUAGAUAUCGCAAUUUUAGGUUUAGAUGUAGAGUACUUGAGGUUUAGCUCUGUAUUUUGAUAAAUUGUUUGACAACUUGUUGAAAAUACUCGUAUAUAGUGUUAAUGAUUGAUAUAAUGUCAUAUGGAAUUUUGUAGUCCAUUCGAUUGAAUUUGUAUUUGUGCUUCAGUCGGUUUGAUUCGAAUAAUUCUUUUACGAUUUUUCGGAUCAUACACUUGUAGUUUCCGCUGUUGAGUUGUGACGGUUUCGUAAUAGUUGUGGUUUCGUAAUAGUCGGUUUGAUUUGACGAUAUUUGACUAUAAAAUCAUGUCUAAUUGAUGUUUUAGUUCCAAAUUGUGAAAUCGAUGUUGUUACUAGUUGUCCAGUUCAUAUCAGCUUUAGCACAACUAGUAAUAUUAAGCUAUUUUAUCUUUUUUUGUAUUAACUGCAAUGAACUGAUAUAGCUAUGUAUCAGUUAUUUUACUUCAAUUGCUAUGAAUUCUUAUAGAUUUGACGUUAUUUGACUGUGUAUGCAUCUCAAAUUGUAAGUUUAUGACCUGGAUUGGAUCUGUGAUUCAGUUUUCCGUUAAUGUGCAAAACCUAACAUCGGAUAAUGUGAUUCUGUGAUUGUACAACAGAAUUUGUACCUUCAUCAACCAUCAGUCUCGUGUUUGAAUGUUUGGGCCAUGCCUUAAUUAAUGAACCAUCAAUAUAUAUGUUUGCUAAUAUUUAUCUGUUUACAUAUAUUUUAGCACAUCUAGCCGUAUAAAGCGUCAGCGGUGUCAAAUAUGUUUAAUAACAAGGCUAUACGACUCGUAUAAUUAAACUAAACAAAUGUAUAUUAUAUAAUUUUUGAAAUGGUAAUAUUUUUUUUAACAAAAGUAAACAAUUAUCAGACUUUGUAAUAAAACUGAACAAUUUUUUUUAUAUAAAACUAGAACUUUUUAGUAAUGUGUUUUUUUGCAAAUGGAUAAGCUAUGUGACUCCUAUAGUUCUAUAUGAGUCACAAAUGAGGAUCUAUGUAACUCAUAUAACCGUAUACGACUCGUAUAGAUGUCGUGUCAUACUAGUCAUAUGUCUUCAUAUGUGUUGUUUAGGUAUAUGAUUCGAUCGAUUUGAUAGAGUUUUGUUGGAAAACGUGGGCCUAUAAUAGUCAUAUAGCGCUAUACGAUUUAUAUACAUGACACCUCCCAUGAAAAUAAAGGCGGUCUGUCAUCCAUAUCCAAAUCGGUAGUCUUACAACUACCACGAGUCAUCCCACUGCCAGUGGCCCAAGCACUGUCCGCCACCUUGACAUUGUUUAGUCGUAAGUGUUAACCCCAUCAAUAUUGUCCCCCAUCCAUAAUCAUUAUCAUAGUAAAUCAUCAAUACUAUUUAAAUUAAACAUCUUAACCCGAACACGACGUUUUAAUAAAUGGAUUAACUUUGUUUCCCACAGUUUGUUAGUAAGCAUAAAGAGAAGUUUCUUUGUAGCCAUAGUCAACAAAAGUAGUCCACAAAUAACCAAAAUGAAAAAUUCCACAUCAAAAGAAAAGACUUGUAUAGCACGCAUUCAGGAUUGACUAUUUCUAGUUUUUGAUAUAAAUAUAGUUCAAAUACUCUCGCAUUAAAUGCGUAGUUUUCAAAGGCACAAGGACACUCAAGGCGCAAAAUGUGAGCCUUGGGCCAAGGCACAAGGCGCUUAAAAAGCAAGGGGCUGGAGAUAAGCAAGACACAUAACAUAAACAUACUGUUGUUUUAGGUUUUAGGCGUGUUUAGGGCUUAGUUUAGGCUGGUUCCAGACCAUUUUUUGAAUGCUUCAAACCAAUUUGCCUGGAGUUUGUAGAAAUAACACUUUUAGUUUUAGGUCAUCGAUUACUUGAGGUUUAGCUUUAUAUUUUGGUAAAUUGUUUAUUAAACUUAGACAAUCUGUUGGAAUCACUUGUAUGUAGUGUUACUGAUAAAAUUC
rnacentral:lncRNA from 1 species